GACGAACGCUGGCGGUGUGCUUAACACAUGCAAGUCGAACGGUAAGGCCCUUUCGGGGGUACACGAGUGGCGAACGGGUGAGUAACACGUGAGUAACCUGCCCUCAUCUCUGGGAUAACAGUCGGAAACGGUUGCUAAUACUGGAUAUGAGCUUGCAAGGCAUCUUGUGGGUUGGAAAGAUUUUUUUGGUUGGGGAUGGACUCGCGGCCUAUCAGCUUGUUGGUGAGGUAGUGGCUCACCAAGGCUUCGACGGGUAGCCGGCCUGAGAGGGCGACCGGCCACAUUGGGACUGAGAUACGGCCCAAACUCCUACGGGAGGCAGCAGUGGGGAAUAUUGCACAAUGGACGGAAGUCUGAUGCAGCAACGCCGCGGGCGGGAGGACGGCCUUCGGGUUGGAAACCGCUUUCAAUUGUGACGAAGCUUUUUGUGACGGUAGCAGUAGAAGAAGCACCGGCUAACUACGUG
rnacentral:rRNA from 1 species